AAAGAAAGGAAGGGGGCUUGGAAAUAAUAGUGUUUGAAAGGUGAGAAAUAACGGUGUAAAGGAAAGAACCUAGAGAAUCGAAAUGAGCAGAUCAGCCCGGGUUCUUGUAUGUAAUUUUCAAUUCACCUACAAUAAAUCCAGUUGCAUCAGACUCUGCGGAUUGUGUAUAAUUUUGAAGAAGCAUUCAACAGUGUGAGGAGAGCGACCCCAGCACUUCUGGCCCAGGCCAGGGCCUGUUUUUCCCCCACAUUGAAUUGGCGAGCCAGCCAGGAGAGGUUCGGGGAAGCCGAACGUCUGGACGGAACUGCUGACUCUUGGAUUCAACAGUGGCCACAAAGCAGUAAGGUAAAGGGUGCCACCGAAGGAAGAACAAGUGACAUCUCUGAGGACCUGAGCAGAAUACGCCCAGGAGACUGGGUGUAUAUCAGAACGUUCAAAAGAAAGUGAAACGAACCCAGGCGCGAAGGACCGUUCAAAGUGGUCUAGGCAACUCCUACUGCACUUAAGGUUGAAGGUAAAACUGUGUGGUUCCACCACAAUCAUUGCUGUAGGGCAAGGGGCCAGAGCGUUCACUGGACGAGGUAAGGGGAGACUUGCGGGAGAUAAAGGAAGGAUUAGAUGGGGAACCAGGACCCUCUAAGAGAAGGCAGGGUGAGGAAGGUGCACCUUCAGAGAGUAGGGAACCUUCAGAAAGUGGAGAGAAUGAGGGAACAGGGGAGACGUAGAGGGAGGCAAGGGCGGGUGAAAGGAGUAUGGAGUGUAGUGACGGGAAUACUGUUACUGUGGAUGGAGAUAUGUCAGGCGAUGCCCACCCUACCAACCGGGUGGGGAAUCAGGCGAAAACCAACAGAGGAGGUGCUUGAUGAUGAGCAAACCCGCCGCAUGCUAACCGAGGACCCACAACUCACCUUACACACCAAGACCCAUAAUAUGUUUUACCGGUGGUUGGAAUAUUCUGCGAGACAGGUGACCUAAGACACAUGCAUAACAUGCUACCACACCGGCAUGAAAAAGAAAUCCCAGCUGAGACCACUGCAGACCACCAGUUGCAGACUGGGAAGGGAUAUGUGCCCCAGUUGUUUGGACUGGACGAGCCAUUGGACUGAAUCCACGCCAACACUCGGAGCGGAUGAAGCGUUCCUGGAAGGAGGAUAAAGGAGCGUGGGUAAGCUACUCAGAAUGUGAGGUAAGGAGUGACAUGGCCGGACGGUGGAAAAGAGAGGUGGGUGAGUGGAACGAAGAAAGCGAGGUGAGUGUGAACUGGGCCGGAAUUCCUGUAAAUAUACCCAGACAACACAGAGUAAUGGGAUUAGACUCUUCUGACAACCUUAUAGAGUUUCUACCUUAGGUACAAAUAAAAAGAAAUGUUGAGUGGAUUAAUUACCUGUGGUACAAUCAGCAGAGAUUCAUUAAUCACAUUGUGGCAGCACUGCAAGGUAUAAAAAAACAAUUACAUGCCACCUUGCUCGUGACAAUACAGAACAGGCUAAUUCUUGACACAAUGUUAGCCGAGGAGCAGGGGGUACGUGAACGUGUUGGGGACGAAUGUUGUACAGUCAUUCCAAUGCACACAGGAAAAGGGGGCAACAUAACAGCAUUAGAGGCACUGAAGAAUCUAAGGGAUGAACUACAUAUACAACUAAACUAAAAAUACAAAGGGAGAAUCCCAGGAGUGGUCAUGGUGGGACUGGUUCAACAUGUCAACAUGGAAAACGGCUCUGGUAAAAAUAGGGGUGAUCAUAGGGAUAGUAUUGUUGAUGUUGCUAUUGGUCACAUGUUGUGUGGUCCCAUUGCUCCAAUCCAUGGUCAAAAGAAUGAUACUGUGGCUGAACAAUUCCUGUUGGUUGCUGAUCCUGAACUAGACACCACCAUCUCAGAUGCAGACCCUAUAUACGAGGACAUGAUGUCACAAAAAGGAAAGGAACCAUUGCAUGAGAUUCAAUACAGUGCAAGGGGGGGGGAUGAUAUGUUGUAUCUGUCAUCCAAACAGGACCUAACGAAUAUCACGACCAAUAUGGAAACCUGGUGAACGCUAAAGGCGGCCCACUUGACUGCCCGUUUGGAAACCCCCUGUGCGAAUGGGGGGUGAGAGCAGGUGCCGGUUGGGAGUGUUGGGAUUACCAUCCACAAGCCGCCCGCCAGGCAAAGGAUCCUCAGUUUUGCGACACUUACGGCAAGUGUAUCUAGGGAAUAGAUUUCGAGGACGAUGGAGACUGCCAGCUUAGUGAGGAAAAGAGCGACCCGAAUCACUGUGCAUCGAAUGUACUAGCAACCUUUCCACAGUGAUGACCCUCUCUACGGUACGUAAAGCACCCGGGUUGAAGAAACAUGCUCCAACUACACAACUCACGAGAUGACACACAGGAUCGUUAACAGCAAGAGUAUCUGAGUGAUGUGCUAGUAACCUCUCCUCAGUAUACAAAGAGCCAGGCUGCGACUCAAUAAGUAAAUAAGUAAAAGUAGAAGCUACAAUCAAGAAACCAACAUAACUAAGUAUAAUUAACUGAUUGAUUAAACAAAUAACUAACCAGAAUUAUGAUGUUAGAACUCCAUUUAACCAUCUCAUGCAGCCAGGGGUUAACAUGGGGGUGGACGCGGGUGGACGGCGUCCACUCACCUUUGGUAAAUAAAUAAAUAAUUUUGACGGCAGUUUUACAAAUAAUUAUGACAAUCCAGUCCAUUUUUCGUAUGCUCCAGUCUAUGUGUUCCCUCUAGCCAGUUACUCACUCAACUAAUCAAAAAUCCGAAGAAAAAAAACUCAGGAGGAACAGUUUAUAUGGACAGGCACAGAAAGAAAAAUAUCGUUGAUUGUCUUGAUUGUUUCUGCCCUGCUUUCUGGCUGCCCUAAUAACUCGUUAAAGAGUUUCCAGCUUGUGCAGAAUGCAGCUGCUCGUAUCCUGAGCAGAACUAAGAAGUAUGAGCACAUUACACCAGUACUAGCGUCGCUUCACUGGCUACCCAUUAAGUAUAGGAUAGACUUCAAGGUUUUGCUCCUGACUUUUAAAGCUCUGCAUGGACGUGCACCUGUGUACAUAUCGAACCUGCUCCUACCUUAUAAGCCCACAAGGUCACUCCGAUCUCAAGACGCAGGCUACUUGGUAGUCCCAAAAAUUUCCAAGAACCUAAAAGGCGGUAGGGCUUUCUCCUACAGGGCCCCACUACUGUGGAACCAGCUUCCAAUAUUUAUAAAGGAGUCAGACACAGUCUCAAUAUUUAAAUCUAGAUUAAAAACGCACCUCUAUGCUCAAGCUUACAAUCAGUUAUAGUCUGGAGACAGGGUGCGAGAAGCCUGUAGUCAUAGAGCUUUCUAGGUGGCAAUCCUUUCCUUACUGUCACCUGUCAAUCAGCUGUGACCCGACUUUACAUGGGCUGGCUCUUGAUAGGCGGGUAUGGUUGUCUACCACUCAUGACUGCAUGGGCUCUCCAUCCCUGUCCUAGUAGAUAUGCAGCCAUAUUCUACUCCUGGCGGGGUCCCACAAUACAUACCACUGGCACUUACUCACUGUCUGCUAUAUUGCAAAUUCCUUAACUGCUGUU